ensembl:snoRNA
AUUUGACAGAGUAUGAAAAUAAGAAAACUCAUUGGCUAUGUGUCUUAUCACAGUGCCAAAACUCCAGUUGUUGACAGAAAAGA